rnacentral:lncRNA from 1 species
CUGAGUUUAUCCUUAGAGAUGGUGUACUGACCAACUUAGACAAGAAGGAUGUUUCUACUCAUUGUAAAUUUGAGACGUUAUGCCUUUGCUCUCUUGUAGAGUGGAUAGCAAUGAGAAAGGAACCUUUUGAUUGAUUGGCAUACGGGAAUUUUUUUUAAUGACUGCGGAGUAAGAGUGGAACUACGAGAUGCAAUGAGAAAGGAACCUUUUGAUUGACUGGCAUAUGGAGAAUUUUUUUGUAUGACUGCGGAGUAAGAGAUGUAAAAAUUAAAAUUUUGGUUUUCUAUUUCAUUUUGAUUUGAUUUUCUUAUCAUCUUCAGUGAUCAGUAGAUCGACUUCUUUUGUCAAUUUUCCAUAUCCUUUAAACUGCUGCUGCUUUGGAUGUUCUAUACAAUGUAUGAUGUUAUCCAAAC